UUUAAGUAUCGCGUGAUCUGUAACCGUUGCCGGGGCAGCGACGAGCGCGCCUAAGAUCUGAUCCUCCCAAGACUUGACCGCGAAUUCGGCAAGAAUU
rnacentral:sRNA from 1 species